GAGAGAGAGAGAGAAGGAGCCGAUUUUUGGUUUUAUGGUUUCUCGUGAUAUGGAGAAUUAGGGAUGAUGAAUUGAUGAUGAUGCCUGCUCUGGGAAAAAGAAUCAUCUUCUUCACCAAUCACCAUCUCUGAAUUGUUCUUUCGCAAGUGAGGAUGGGAGCACGAGGAGGACCUUGUUCGUUUCUAUAACCAAGAACAUUCUUCACAUCUACAAGGAGUACUUGGACAUAUCUUCGAUAACCAGUUUGAGCGAUGAGUAAAGAAUCCUUCAAAAAGAAGAAGAACCCUUCAAGGUCUGAGCAAUGAGUAAAGUUGCAGGAUAAAGGACCGUUAGAACCAGUAGCUAUAGCACAAAGCAAGCCUCAAGAUAUAACCAGUAACUAGUCUGAGCGAUGAGUACUAGAGAAUCGUUUUGAGAAUUCAUUGAACCUUGUCUGAUGAUGAAUCCGUCUGCACUUUUGCCAAAAUAUCAGUUACAGUUAUCUCAAGCCAAAGGACAUCAUCAGAAAAGUGUGAAAAGGGAAACGGAUAAUUGUGUGACCUGCUUCAAGGUUCUUCGUUUGAAUUCACCCACGACAAUCGCUUGAACAAGGAAGCUCAAUUGUGGUUUCUCCGUGGGUGAUAGCUACAAGCUGGUGAUAGCCAAGACUUGACCGAUAAAGAGACUUUCCUUUUGUGUGCAUUGAAUGGUAAUCUCGGGGAUGCAGACGCUUGAGCAGAUAGAAAACAAGGAGAACAUCCCUUACCCAAACCACCAUUGCAGUGGACCUUAAGGCAGCAAAUUACAAAUAUAGCUCAAGCCAAAAUCAGCCUUCAGAAAAAUGUGAAAAGAUUGCCUCAUUGCAGGGGAACGAGUGUUAAAGUCAAGCCAUCAGAAAGCAAAAACUAGGUGGUGGAAAAUCAAGACAGGGAAAUGAGUGUUACGAACAUUUCCAGCUACUAGCUCUACCAAUCUGAUUCACUGAGUAUGUAGCCAAUCACAGGGUAAAAGCUAGAUGAUCUCAUUAUGUGACCCAACCAUGGAGUAAUCCUCUACUUUGCUCUGUAACAAUUCCGAGGAUACAUAGAUCUACAAUGCCAGUAAUCUUGGGAAUGUGGAUGUUGGAGAAGAUAUAAAGCAAGGAGAACACAGCUCUGCAGUUUUCUCAGGGAGAAAAUUGGAUGAACCUUAAGAAAAAGCAUCAAACUGCUAGAAAGAUAGCUAGUAUUCUGAGGAAGCCAUUCUGUACGCAGGCAAAAAAAAACCAGUCACAGUUGUCUAAACAAGAAUGAAGUCAUCAGCAAAAUGUGAAAAGGGAAAUAAGUGUUAAAAACGUCGCUAGCCGAAACUAACUAGUUUUGGAAAGUCAAGCCAGCAAAAACCAAGACAGAUUCUUAAUCCAAAACCAGCAACGCUGCUGCUCCACAGGAAAAAACGAGAUUUUGACAGCACCAGCUUUGCCUGCACCACAUCUGCUAGAAUUUCCAGCUCUCAAUGUUGCAGGAAUUUCAUCUUCAAACAAUGGCAAGGGUUAACCAGCACGCAUAAACAUCUUCACUAGCUUCAACUUAAGUCUCUAGUAAGAAUAGUUUGAUGAGGGUUGGUAGUUUUAUCCAACCCGUUUUCAGUUUUACAGAACCUGUGGUAAACCCGUUUAUGAUUGCUAUUAACAGUGGGAUUCUACUUGGCAAUCAUAUUCACAUGAUUCUCAAAAAACACUUCAGGGGAAUACCUUAGUAUGUUGAAUUUUGAGGAAUUUAAACUUGGUAAGGGUAAACCAGCAUGCUGAGACAUCUUCAACAGCUUCAACGUAAGUCCCUAAGCAGCCUUCUAGCCAAGAAAUAAAUAGUUCACAACUAAACCAGUCACGGUUGUCUCAAGCAAAAGGCAGUAAUCAGAGAAGUGUUAAAAAGGGAAACGAGUGGUAAAAACGUUAGCUCUUAUCCAGAAAAAUCAACACAUCAAAAGGCAAAGGCUGGAUGAUGGAAAUCUAAGACAGCAUGAUUCACUCUAUAUCUCAUUGUAUGACUGAAAUUUUUUUCCGCAUCAUCAUUGUUUUAUGUACUAAAGAUCCUCUUCAUGCUCGCCUAUUGGAAGUUUUCCUAGAAUUGUGAACGAAGGUGUCUAUACCGAAGCAGUAAAUAACUUGAGGAAAAGAUGUUGGCAAAGAUUACAAAGUUAUUAGCUCGAAAUAUGAACAAGAAGACCAUUGAUGGAGAAUUAGGGAUGAUGAUGAUCCCUGCACUGGAAAAAAAAAAUCAUCUUCUUCACCAAUCACCAUCUCUGAAGUGUUCUUUUGCAAGUGAGGAUGGGAGCACGAGGAGGACCUUGUUGGUUUCCAUGGCGGAAAUGAGUGUUACGAACAUUGCUAGCUACUAGUUCUACCAAUUUGAUUUAUUGAGUAUGUAGCCAAUCACAGGGGUAAAAGCUAGAUGAUCUCAUUAUAUGACCCAACCAUGGUGUAAUCCUCUACUUUGCUCAGUAACAAUUCCGAGGAUACAGAGAAUAACAAUAAGACCACAUAAGCCAGAUAUCGGAGAAGAUAUAAAGCAAGGAGAACACACACCAGCUCUGCAGUUUUCUCAAGAAGAAAAGUGGGUGAACCUUAAGAAAAAGCAUCAAACUGCUAGAAAGAUAUCUAGUCUUCUGAGGAAUUCAUUCUGCACGCAGGCAAAAAAAAACCAGUCACAGUUGUCGUAAGCGUAAUGUGAAAAGGAAUUUUAUCUUCAAACAAUGGCAAGGGCUAACAAGCACGCAUAAUCAUCUUCACUAGCUUCAACUUAUGUCUCUAAUCAAAUCUCUGAAUACAUUGGCUAAUCUCUGAAAGCGUCAUCUAACAUGCUCCAAUUUCCGUGACAUUGCCUCUCUUUACAGAUGCUUGACUACAAUGUAGGCGGCGGUGUGAGGAGCCUGUCUUAGACAUUUCAUCCAAAAUUAAUCAGUUGUGGUCUCUCUCCGUGGUUGAUAGCUGCCUACAAUCUCUUGAAAGAAGCCAAGACUUGACCGAUACUGAUACUUUCCUAUUGUGUGCUCUCAGCUUCAAGGUUAUUUUCUCGUGCUUGAUGACAUCAUGGACAACUCUGUCACACGCUGUGGUCAGCCUUGUGGGUUGGGUUCAGACAGCCAAAGGUACAGUUUCAAACAGUCUGUGGCCGGAUAAUUUAUUUGAUCACUUCCUUUAGAUGGAGAAAAAGAUUUGUCCAAGUACUCCUUUCAAAUGUGAAGAAUGUUCAAUAGUUUCAGCAUGCAGAAACAUCUUCAAUAUCUUAAACGUGAGUCUUUAAGCAGUAAUCUCGGGGAUGCGGACGCCUGAGCAGAUAGAAAAAAGGAGAACAUCCCUUACCCAUCCCACCACUCCAGUAGACUUUAAAGCAGUAAAUUGCUACAAAGAUAGCUCAAUCCAAAAUCAUCCUUCAGACAAAUGUGAAAAGGGAACGAGUGUUAAAGUCAAGCCAUCAGAAAGCAAAAACUAGAUGGUGGAAAAUCAAGACAGGUUGGUGGCAGAUUGUUACAAAACCAGCAUGAUCCAUAUCUCUUAUCUCAUACUUCGUUUGAAUUCACCCACGACUCCGUCAAAUUCUUGAACAUAUGCUUGACUACAACGUAUUUGGUGGUGAAAAGAGCCGGUCUCAGACAUUUCAUCCGAACUUAACCAACUCAGACUAAAACCUUGUGUGUUUUGUGUUGUUCUGUAAGGAAGCUCAAUCGUGGUCUCUCCGUGGUUGAUAGCUACAUGCUGUUGAAGCAAGGCCAAGAUUUGACCAAUAAAGAUACUUUCCUUUCCUGUGCUCUCAAGUGGUUCAUUGAAUGGCUUCAAGCUUCAUGGACAACUCUGUCACACCCCGUGGUCAGCCUUGUUUGUCUCACGUUCCUCUUCUUAUAGUUCUUUAAUGUGUCUAUGCCUUUCAGUACAGGGAAACGAGUGGUAAAAACGUUAGCUCUUAUCCAGUAAAAUCAACACAUCAAAUGGCAAAGGCUGGCUGGCUGAUGGAAAACUAAGACAGAUGGAAAAAUCCUCUUCAUGCUCUCCUAUUGGAAGUUAUCUCAGAAUUGUGAACAAAGAAGGUGUCUAUACCGAAGCCGUAAAUAACUUGAGGAAGAGAUGUUGGCAAAGAUUCCCAAGUUAUAAGAUUUGGGCAGCUCUAGCUUUGUCUGCACUGCACCAUCAAAGAACACCACCUCUGCCACAUUUUCAGCCCUGUGAUCCGAACAAUGCUAAGAGCUCUUCCUACUCUACAUCAAAAACUACUACAAAACGUGGAUUUAUCGGAGUGGAAUAUGUUAAGAAUGGGGUACCAAAGGAUUGAUUUUUUAUUUUAGUUUCGUCGAUUUGAGAUUGAUAAAAAGUUUGCUUGGAUUUUGAGGAAUGGCAAAAGAGGAAUAAAAAAAAGUGUGGGAAGAAAUGCAGAAGCUGAGGAUCAUGAGGAACAGCUCAAGAAACUACAAGAAAUUGAUGUAGAUGGAAUAACAAUGGAUCAGAAGAGGAACCAGAUGAACUGCAACUAUAUUUUGCUAAUCACAGUCUUCUAAGACCAAGAAAUAAGAAGAUCAUUGACAUACCAGAUUCUCCUGUGAAGUAGAAGAUCAAUCCCAUGCCGUCAACAAAGAUGACAGUAUUUGAAGAGACCAGGAUGAUUCCAGUGGUUGUUAAGGCAUUGGAUACAGUUAAAAUACUGAGGAUGGAGCUGGUUAAGAUGCAAAAGAAGGGUGAGUUAGAUAUGCCUCGCCAAGGUUAUUUCUUUGUUUACAAAAAAGUCACCAUUGAGCGAGACUAAUACAUUCUUCUGGCACCGUAUUUCUGACGGCGAUAUGUCGGACGGACCAAUAUGUUUUUCAACAAAACGCUGCGUUUCCAAAGCAUUUCGACAUUUUUUUUACACAAAAAGAAAAGUUAAAUUUACA